CGGAUUUUCACAAAGAAUGUGUCAAACAAAUGCAAACUGCAGUAUGUUAUGUUGUUAACCAAGGGGCUUUUUCUCCAUCAAGCCGCGAUAAUUGUGUGACCAACUGCAGUCAUUGGUAACUCAUUUUUUAAGCAAAAUGUAUAAAAACACAACUUCAACGAAAAGAGAAACACAAACUAUCUUGUUGAUUUAUCACUAGAUGAGGGUGCUUUGGUUACAGAUGAACUUGUCGACUCUUCAGCUUGCACAAGUUUGCGAAGUCUGUCUUGAAGGACUCUAACUCUGUCUUCUGUUUUGCGGAGCCUUCGCCAUCUAUAGGCAAACCAGAGCCCCAAUCCUCCGUAUACAACAGUAUAGGAACCCCAAACAUAGGGGUAGGUUUCUGCAUUCUCUUUCACUUUCUGGUACUGUUCUUGUAUCUUACCUGCCCAAGUAGUGUAUGAGUAACUUUCUGAUUGUUUGUCUACUGUAGUUGGUGGUUCAAUCACUUCACUCUUCUCCUGAGUCGCCAUUGUUGGUCCGUUUGGGGGCAGAUCCAGGAGGGUCACACCAGUCGUAGGGUUUAUCCCGG
rnacentral:misc_RNA from 1 species